AAGGAAGGGGGCCAAAGCCCACUCUCACCUGGAGCUAUGGGCCAAACUAAACCAAUUCCCCAUCUAGCUUUGGAGAAGAUGGGGAAGAGAAACCCAGAGAGGCAAAGUGAUGUGCCCAACACCACACACCUGGUAAUGAGCAGAAUGGAGACAGAGAUGCCAAGUGCUGCCAUCGCCGUGGAUACGCGCUGUCACCCCGGCCCCAGCCUGUCUCCCUCCACAGCUUCCAAAACUCCCAGCAGGCAGGCAGACGGGGAGGCUGCCCAGUUACUGCCAGGGAGGGCAGAGGAGGGGAAGGACGGGGUGGGAGAGGUUCAAUGCUAUACACACACACACACACACACACACACACUCUCUCUCUCUCUCUCUCUCUCUCUCUCUGGGCCUCAACCAGAGAGGGAGAGACUCAGAAAGACAGCCGGGCAGACAGAUAAAGAGAAAGGAACGGUCACAGACCACUCACUGCCCACACAGCUCAGAUAUGCCCACUCCCAGAUUCGCACACCACUUUCCCAAUUCAGACACACUACUCAGGGAGUCAAGACUCUCCCAGAUUUACAAGAAUAUACAAAUAACACACAUAUACACAAAUCACACGCACACGUUCCAAAAUUCUAGCAUACACAACUCAGAAUAUGCACAUUCCCAGAUUCACAAGGAUAAAUCCAACUUUCAGAUAUACACUCAGAUUCACACACAAGUACAGAUGCAAUGCAGAUCACACAACUCCUAGAUCCACAGAUAUACAAGCCUUGAUGCACAAAUAUACACACAUGCAGACUCCCACCCCGCCCCCUCAAGACAGACAGACAAACAGACACAUAUUCAACACACAGAUUCAUAGAUACCACAUGCCCUGAGUCAUAAGCACACACACCACCUAGCUUCCCACAUCCCAGACCAACAGACUAGACCCAUACAGCCUCAUCUAGCAGCUGACACUGCCUUGGGCUUUAGUGGGCAGGUGGACUGGUUGGGGGGAUUCCUGGGUCUUUGAGGGGGCCAGCCCUUUCUCAUUGCCUGUAGCCUGGGAGGUGGGCUCAGAGUUGGGGGGAAUGAAGGGGAAAGUAAGAGAAAGGGAAAAAAAAAAAAAACUUGAGUGGGAUAUUCUUGUUGGGCAGUAGCGCGUGAGUAACUGGGGAGGCUUUUUGUGGUCUGGUGAGUUCCAGCUAUGAGUGAGAGUUUAACUAUUAAUACACUUAAUCAAGGACACUUCACACACACAGGCACACAUAUACAGGCUAAGACAGCACCAGGUGGUGGGGAUCAGGGAGGGAGAGCACCAGAAUAAAGGGGGGGGAAAGCCCCAAUUCGGGUCCCAGGGGGUGAGGAAAGAGGGAGGAGCUUCUGCUCUGGGCCUGCCUCCAGAGUAGGGGCAGAGUCAGUGAUUCAUUUUAGCAGCUCCAGAAAGGUGGCACUGGACACACAGUAGGUGCUCAAAAAUACAUACUGGGGCAAUGAAUGAAUAAGUUAUUUACAUACGGGAUGCCUGGGUGGCUCAGUGGUUAAGCAGCUGCCUUUGGCUCGG